rnacentral:rRNA from 1 species
AUUGAACGCUGGCGGCAUGCCUUACACAUGCAAGUCGAACGGCAGCGGGGACUUCGGUCCGCCGGCGAGUGGCGAACGGGUGAGUAAUGUAUCGGAACGUACCAUUGAGUGGGGGAUAACUAUCCGAAAGGAUAGCUAAUACCGCAUAUUCUCUCCGGAGGAAAGCAGGGGACCACAAGGCCUUGCGCUCAUUGAGCGGCCGAUAUCAGAUUAGCUAGUUGGUGAGGUAAAGGCUCACUAAGGCGACGAUCUGUAGCGGGUCUGAGAGGAUGAUCCGGCACACUGGAAGUGAGACACGGGCAAGACUCCUACGGGAGGCAGCAGUGGGGAAUUUUUGACAAGGGGCGCAAGCCUGAUCCAGCCAUUCCGCGUGAGUGAAGAAGGCCGUCGGGUCGGAAAGCUCGUUCGCAAGGGAAGAAAACUUAUCCUCUAACAUAGGAUGAGGUUGACGGUACCUUGAUAAGAAGCACCGGCUAACUACGUGCCAGCCGCCGCAGUAACAC